rnacentral:rRNA from 1 species
UGCAAAUCAAUAUAAAUUGAUAUUAUUUAUUUAUUAAUUUAUUAUUUAUUAUAUAUUAAUUUUGAAUAUUUGUUAUAUUAAGUAUUAAAAAUAAUUAUAAAGUUUUUAUAGUUUUAGUAAUUAUUAAUGAAAAAAUAAAUUUUAUGAUAGUUAAUUUGUAUUGUGAAAGAUAAUUGAAAUAUAUUGAAAAAUUUAUAAUUAAAAAGAAAAAUUAAGUUUUUGUACCUUGUGUAUCAGGGUUUAUUAAAUAAUUAAUAAUUAUUUAUUAAUUUCGAUUUUAUAAGAGUUAAUAAUUUAUUAAAUUUAAUGUGACAAAAUUAUUUUAAAUUAAUUAUUAGAAAUGAAAUGUUAUUCGUUUAUAAAGUUAUCUAGUUUUUUUAGAAAUAAAUUUAAUUUACAAAUUUUUAAUUUAUUAAUUAUUUUUAUUAAUUAAUAAAAUUGUUAAUUUGAAUAUUUUAGGGGAUAAGCUUUAAAAUAAAUUAUUAUAAAUAAAUAAAAUAUUUUUAAAAUAUAUGCAUAGAAUUAGUAAUUAUUAAUAAGUUUGUUAUAAAAUAUUCAUUUUUUUUUUAUUAUUUAUUAUAUUUUAAUUUUAUAUAAAAAUAUUUUUUGUAAUUUAAUUUGUGAAGUAAUAAUGAUAAAAUUAGUAUAUAUGUAUAAUGUUUUUAUAAUUUUAUAUGUUAAGUUUAUAUAAAGAACUCGGCAAAUUAUAUACUCGCCUGUUUAACAAAAACAUGUCUUUUUGAGUUAAUUUUAAAGUCUAACCUGCCCAAUGAAAAUAAUUUUUAAUGGCCGCAGUAUCCUAACUGUGCAAAGGUAGCAUAAUCAUUAGUCUUUUAAUUGAAGGCUUGUAUGAAUGGUUGGACGAAGUAUAAACUGUUUCAUAUAAAUUUUUUAUAAAAUUUUAUUUUUUGGUAAAAAAGCUAAAAUUUAAUUAAAAGACGAGAAGACCCUAUAAAUCUUUAUAUUUUAUAUUAUUUAAAUUUUAUAGAUUUUUUUUUAUUUAUAAUAAUAUAAAUUAUUUUAUUGGGGUGAUAUUAAAAUUUACAGAACUUUUAAUUUAAAUUAAAUCAUUAAUUUAUGAUUUGUUGAUCCAUUAAUAAUGAUUAUAAGAAUAAGUUACUUUAGGGAUAACAGCGUAAUUUUUUUGGAGAGUUCUUAUCGAUAAAAAAGUUUGCGACCUCGAUGUUGGAUUAAGAGAUAUGCUUAGGGGUAGUUGCUUAAGUAAUGAGUCUGUUCGACUUU